GAGAGUGCCGUGAUUUUCCUGCAGGGUUAUCCUUGCAUUCAGCAGAGGGAGGAAGGUGAUGGUGCAGCUGAAUGCAGGCAGCAACCUGUCCUGGCACAUCCUGCAGCCUGCGCCUCUCUGGGUAUUCUUUGGGGAAGUAGCAGAAAUUUUCCAGCCUUGCUUUACAUCAGCAACACAGAACAUGGGGCAUGAAGGACUCGGAGCGAGCCUCAGUGCCCGCCAUCAGCGCAUCCCUGCCCGGGCUGGGAACUUCGGAGCGGCUGGGGAGUGGGCACACACAGACCUGGAUCCUGGAGAAUGUACAGCAGCUUCAGCUCUGUGCCUGCAGCGCACAGGGAAUGUCUGUCUGCAUGGGAGCAUCCAGCCAUGGAGCCCUGCUCUGCUGCCCUGGCCAGGUGAGAGCUCAGCUAACUUCAUGUGGCAGCCACUGGAAGUGUGCUCUGAGGAACUGGCCCAGAGGAAGAGACUCUGCACUCGUGGCUCAUCAGCCCUGGCAGGAAGCAGCAGGUCAAACUUAGAAGGAACUUAAAAGCUAAAGAAUGUAAGAUCGUUGUGCCAGAUGCACCAAAUGGACACCUGGGACCCCAAUGUCAUACUCAGAAAAGGUGCUGGGCUGUGAGUCCAGCAUUCCAGCCUUGUGCUGUGAAUCCCACCACAUGUGCAUGUCUGGAAGCCUGUGUCAGCAAUGGUGGGACAGCUCUGCAAUACACUGCUAGAAAACCUUCCUCUUGCAGUGCUGUCUUGCUUUUUAUUCUUUUCCUCCUGGUUUUCUAUUCCUCCUGUCACUGCCAAUGCAGCAGUGGAUCUGCUCCUCCAGGAGGGAUCGCUCUCUGUGUGCCUGUGGUGUCUCAGGUUUUAGCUUCUAUAUUUUCAGAUUCUGUGCUGCUUUAGUGUGUAGUUCUGAGCUUCAUAUUAGGGGAUGGUGAGCUCUCUGCACAGAGCAGGGAGACAAAACAAUUCCUGCUCUAGCUGGGGACCAAGGACAAAUGAUCCAAAUCUCAGCCCAAGAGCACAAACACCGUGGGCUGAAGAGAGAAAAACAAGCAGGAUGGUACUGCACGGGCUAAAGCUGGAAUUGGACAAUUAACUCCAAUAUGCAAAUGGACCAGAACUUACAAAAGUGAGAGACCCUGUGACCAGCUGUCUGUUUUGUCAGUAUUUUGGUUCAUCUUGGGUGCAGCCCUGGUUGGGCUCUUGUGCUGCCCAAGGUGGAUCCAUGGAAGCCUUUUAAUAAAUCCCUAUUUUAUUCUUUAACUCUGUGCA
rnacentral:lncRNA from 1 species